rnacentral:lncRNA from 1 species
AGGACAGAGGACUGGCCCACGCCAUCUGCGAGACUAGAUAGCUCCUUUUGGUCAGAGGAGGAACAAGCAUUCGGCUCUGAUUUUCCUGAGGAGGUGCUGGGGUGUGGAAAUUCGAAAACCCCUUUGGACAAAGAGCUCUGUCUCUAAUGAGCUGCAUGACCACAGGUGGGCAAUUCGCCUGGGGAUCCUGAGCUGGCCUGCAGAGCUGUGAGACCUCUGGGACUCCGUCCAGGAAACAGACACACAGACAAAGGAAUCCAAUCCACAUUCCAAGAAGGGCUUGCCCUGGACACUUCUGCCCCCACUUGGCUGUUCCCACUCCUGACACUGCCCUGGCGCACUGCUCCCACCAUACCAGCCCUCCUCAGGUCUUGGCAUAGUGCCCAUGCUUGGUAUUGUUUUACGGCCUCUGCUGGGGCCGUUCCUUCCAAUGGGGCCCAGUUUCCUUGCUCCCCGUCCCAUGCCACACCCAUGCUUCUUCUUGGUUGGCCCCUUCUCAUUAGGAAGGUCUUGAUCACAAUGUCACCUCUUGGAAAGACUUUCUUGAGCACCCAGGCUAAAGAAGCCCCUUCACCAUCAUUCCCUUGCAUUUUGUAGCAUUGAAUCCGAUUUGUCAUUAUGCGUUUGCAGUUUGUUUGGAGUCUGCUGUACUAGACUAUACAGGGAGUCUGUGGCUUUUUUCCCCCACUGCAUCUCUGGGGGCCUGGCACUGAGCCUGGCACAGGUUCCUGAUCAUUUGGUGAAGGAAUGAAUGAAAACCAAGUCUCUCCUCAGACCCAGGGUUCCCCGAAGGCAGGAAUCUGCCUCUCUUCUCAG